rnacentral:rRNA from 1 species
AGGCAAAAUGAGAGCCCAACUGUCUCUNANAACAAAUCAAUNAGACUGAUCUCCUAGUACAAAAGCUAGAAUAUCAACAUAAGACCAGAASACCCUGUGAAGCUUAAACUAACCUAUCAAACCCAGUARUGACUACUUUCGGUUGGGGCGACCUUGGAAUAAAAAAGAACUUCCAAUANAUGACUCCAUCAUAAAACAAGGCUAACANGCCAAUACGAGACCCAGUAUAACUGAUAAUUGAAAUAAGUUACUCCAGGGAUAACAGCGCMRUCUUCUUUAAGAACCCAGAUGAAAAAGAAGGUUUACGACCUCGAUGUUGGACCAGGACAUCCCAGUGAUGCAGCCGUUACUAAAGGUUCGUUUGCUCAACGAUUAA